rnacentral:rRNA from 1 species
CCUACGGGAGGCAGCAGUGGGGAAUUUUGCGCAAUGGGGGAAACCCUGACGCAGCAACGCCGCGUGAGUGAUGAAGGCCUUCGGGUCGUAAAGCUCUGUCAGAAGGGAAGAAAUGAGCUUGGCUAAUAUCCAGGUUUCUUGACGGUACCUUCAAAGGAAGCACCGGCUAACUCCGUGCCAGCAGCCGCGGUAAU